rnacentral:rRNA from 1 species
UACGUAGGGUGCAAGCGUUGUCCGGAAUUAUUGGGCGUAAAGGGCUCGUAGGCGGUCCGUCACGUCGGGAGUGAAAACUUGGGGCUUAACCCCAAGCCUGCUUCCGAUACGGGCGGACUAGAGGUAGGCAGGGGAGAACGGAAUUCCUGGUGUAGCGGUGAAAUGCGUAGAUAUCGUCAGGAAUGCCGGUGGUGAAGACGGGUGACUGGGCUGGUUCUGACACUGAGGCACGAAAGCGUGGGGAGCGAACGGG